rnacentral:rRNA from 1 species
GAUGAACGCUGGCGGCGUGCCUAAUACAUGCAAGUCGAGCGAACGGACGAGAAGCUUGCUUCUCUGAUGUUAGCGGCGGACGGGUGAGUAACACGUGGAUAACCUACCUAUAAGACUGGGAUAACUUCGGGAAACCGGAGCUAAUACCGGAUAAUAUUUUGAACCGCAUGGUUCAAAAGUGAAAGACGGUCUUGCUGUCACUUAUAGAUGGAUCCGCGCUGCAUUAGCUAGUUGGUAAGGUAACGGCUUACCAAGGCAACGAUGCAUAGCCGACCUGAGAGGGUGAUCGGCCACACGGGAACUGAGACACGGUCCAGACUCCUACGGGAGGCAGCAGUAGGGAAUCUUCCGCAAUGGGCGAAAGCCUGACGGAGCAACGCCGCGUGAGUGAUGAAGGUCUUCGGAUCGUAAAACUCUGUUAUUAGGGAAGAACAUGUGUGUAAGUAACUGUGCACAUCUUGACGGUACCUAAUCAGAAAGCCACGGCUAACUACGUG